GUGGGGAAUCUUAGACAAUGGGGGAAACCCUGAUCUAGCCAUGCCGCGUGAUCGAUGAAGGCCUUAGGGUUGUAAAGAUCUUUCGCUGGGGAAGAUAAUGACUGUACCCAGUAAAGAAGCCCCGGCUAACUCCGUGCCAGCAGCCGCGGUAAUACGGAGGGGGCUAGCGUUAUUCGGAAUUACUGGGCGUAAAGCGCACGUAGGCGGACUGGAAAGUUGGGGGUGAAAUCCCGGGGCUCAACCUCGGAACUGCCUUCAAAACUCCCAGUCUUGAGUUCGAGAGAGGUGAGUGGAAUUCCGAGUGUAGAGGUGAAAUUCGUAGAUAUUCGGAGGAACACCAGUGGCGAAGGCGGCUCACUGGCUCGAUACUGACGCUGAGGUGCGAAAGCGUGGGGAGCAAACAGGAUUAGAUACCCUUGUAGUCC
rnacentral:rRNA from 1 species